CAGGAACAUAACAAAAAGCAAACUAAAAGUAAGUUUAAAACAAGACAUAAACAUGGCACAAUUGACAUUGCUCUGAAAGGAAGUGGAAGACUUUGUGGUGCGUGAUCUAAUGAUAAACUUUAAAAGUUGUCCAUAAACACAGAAGAGGAGAAGUGACCUUUCUGCUGUGUUGUGAUUUCACAUCAAUCUUGUGACCUGUCCAGCUCUAACUAAUGCCAUUGUGAUAUUAUAUUAAUCUGUUUUGAAAGAAUAACCAGCAUUAGUGGGAGGCACCAAAUUACCAAUGUCUGGAAACUCACCUGUGUCUGUGCCAUUCCUUUAGUUUUGUUUUACUGAACUAUCACACCUCACUAAACAUGCUGUGAUGUAUGAAGACGUCCAGACACUCCCGCAGAAUUUUUAACAUGUUCAAACGCUUGAGUCUGAUGCUGCUGCUGCUGUGCCAGUUCAGUUACAGCGAUGAGAUUUCAGUGAAGGAAGGGGCGGAGCUGAAGUUGGACGUUCUGUUGCCCAAUGCUUAUAAAGUAGUGCACUGGACCAAAAGAAGCACAGGACGGAAGGAGGACUGGAAUAGAAGCCUUGGGGUCAGAAGUGAUCGAAUGACCAUCAGAGAUGGAAACCUAAUUAUUAAUAAUUUUACAGCCACUGACGCAGGAACAUAUGAGGUUCUGGACACUGUGGGAGAAAUCCUGAUCAUGGUGACUGUCACAGAAUCAAAGAGAAAGCUGGAAACAAAUGAUGACAAACCUAAUGCUCUUUGGAUUUGUCUUUUGGCUUUUGUACUGACUGUAUGUCUGUGUUUUUGGUUCUGGUGGUUCUGGAAGUGUUAUCGUUUCGAGUCAUCAAUAAAAUAUCAGCGUCUGCACAGAAAUGUGGAACAUGGAUCAAAAGGGUCUCAAUUCAAUAAACUGUAAAAGUGUCCCAGAACAUCAGCAUCACUGGUUACUUGAAGUCACUUACAAACUAAAGAGCCACUGCAUCAAAGAUUCAGAACACAAUCUGUGCUGAAAUGUGCUCCUCAGACUUAGACUGAAAUUACAUUCGUCUUCUAUAUUACCUCGCUGUAAAUGUGAAGUUUCUGAUCAUUAAAUACAUGCAAAUCUAUGUUGUCAUGUGUUAAUGUAUCCUGGUUUAUGAUGUCAGUGAUUGUUUUUCCAGCUUAAUUUUAGCAUUUAAUUUAUAUAGGGUACAGUAAAUAUUGUUAAUUCAUCAAAAGCAUGUGCCAGAAGCUUUUCAUAGAGCUUAACUUAUAUAUAAAAAAGGAAUAUUCAUAAUCAUAAACUCUCAAAUCACUGCACUAUAAGCCAAGUGUCUAAUGUAGACGUACUGUACAUCCAGCAGGCUAUUAAAAACUACAUUAGGAAAUCAUUUAAUACGGUAAAUCUAGGGAGGGGUGCAACUCUUGAACUGGUAUGAGGCUCUUGAAAGGAUCUAUUCUGAUAAGAUUUAAAUGAUGACGUGUUUUAAACUCUAAAGAAGAAUUUAGAAAUGACGUUUCUUCUGUUUGUGGCUUCAGAUAAGUCACGCGAAAUGUUCAGAUCUAACAGCUUAUCUGAGAUCAGAUUUUACUGUCUGCUUCAUCAUGAUCACGAAGAAACAGAAAACAGACCUUCCUUUAUAAUUCUUAAAUUCAUAUGCAAGUUAUUCGACAAAUAAUUCACAAAAUCAUGUCAAAUCAGAAUCAUUUUCCGACAGCUCAGUGUGCUUUAAAAGAAUAGCCACUAAUGAUGCAUCACACUAUUCUUUAGCAGGAGGCACUAAAUAUUCCAUGUUACUUUCAGUUUUGUUUUAACUCAACUCUUGCUAAACCUGCUGGUUUGCAAAACAUUAAGACUCAAGUAAAAUGUUCACUAUCUAUGUUUUAAUAAGUGGUUCAACGGAUCACAAAUCUCAUGGUUUGGAUCACAUUACAGUUUUUGACCCACAGAUCGAGUCAUUUUUUGGAUUAGCAAGAAAAUAAAAUUAUUUCAGUUUAACUUGCUUCA
ensembl:lncRNA